ensembl:lncRNA
AGGUCUGCUUAAAUUUAAAACGUGGGCUUUUUGAACUUCAUCAUAUUGUUUUAGGUUUGCAAAGUUAUAUUUUAUCCUAGGUUUUGACCUAAUAUUCUAGUCAGACUAUUUUGGAUUUUGAUUCUAACAUCUAUAAGUUAAUUGCCCCUCCAAAUGCUGGGUCAUCUGACAGGAGGACAACAUCAGUUUUGCUGAGAUCGGGGAGAAGACGGAGAAGUGAUGGAGUGGAAAGAGAAUAAAUGGUUAGGUAGGAGGCAAGGUUACCUGUGCAGAGCAGAAGUGGUACAGAUGCAACCUGGUUAUGAAGUGGACAUAAAAGUCAAUGGUGUAGCCUUAGAGCUAAGAAUAAUAGUGCAGAUGAGUGAAGAAUAAAGGCUGGAAGAAAUUAAGAACCAGGAACUGAGGCAAUGAGAAGUGGAGAGGAAGGUAGAGAUGAACUAAAUCUCCCAUUAAGGAAAAACAGACAUUGGAAGAAACAAACAGCAAAGGGAAAGUUGACCCACUCAUCUCACGUGUUAGCUGUGGGGAGUCACAGACAGGACGACCAUAUUGGAUGAUGAGAUGGGAGAGGAGAGCACACAGAAGUGAGGGUCUCAGAGAAACCAUAUAUGUGCAGUCUCCCAUAUAUGUGUACAUAUAUAAACAAGCCUUCCAUUUUUACCUUCAAUUCUCCUAUGUGCCCAUGAGAAAGUUAAAUACAUCUAAGCUUCUUUUGAAUAUUUAAAAGUAUAGGAUAUUUGUUGCUGUUCAGUCGCUCAGUCCUGUCCAGCUCUUUGCAGCCGCAUGGACUGCAGCACGCCAGGCUUCUCUGUCCUUCACCAUCUCCCGGAGUCUGCUCCAACUCAUGUCCAUUGAGGAUAUAAAGCACGAAUUUAAAAAUCCUUAAAUAGGCUGAGAGAUCACAUACUCUGGUGACAGAUACAGACAAAUGCCAUACUUUCAAAGAUAAAGAGUUGUUGACAAAAGGCCACAUUUCAAUAGGAGGAACAGCAUAUACAAAUAUGUCUUAGAUACUUCUUCUAAGAGACACCCAUAUUCCUCAGGAAACAGUGAGGGCUGUGGGAGUAGCCCUAGGCUCUGGGCCUAACAUUUCCACUCCAAGGUGAUACUUAAUGUUUUAGUUUUGGAGCAAAACAGGAAGUUACACUCUUCAAGUCUUUGGCCCAGAUAACCUGAAAUCCUUCCAUGUUGAAUUGUUCAUGGACCAUGGGAUUAGAGCAGAAGUCCCUCCAAGUCCAAGCUUGCUCACCUGUGUCCCCAUAGGAAGCCAGGUGGCCAUUUGCGCUGCCCAAAUUUGUAUUUCAGGUACCCACUUGUGAGUUAAUUUCAGAUGAAUGUGACGAACAACUCCGCAGCGCUGGUGAAAACAGUCCUAUUCAAUAGUCGUACCUCAUCCCAUCCAUAUAUGUAAGACCUUCAAUUUCAUUCUUCAUUUAUCUUUACAGAGAUUAAUGGUAAAGUGUCUGUCGAUAUCUGUUCAAAAAAGAGUGGGUUAAAGAGUUUGAAGAGGUAAGCUAAUUUGGUUUGAUCUCCGAACCGAUUUGAGAGAGAGAGAGAGACAGAGAGGCUCCGAGGAGCUGGGACUUUGAGGUGCCGAUCCACGAGGCCGCAGGUGUCCUGGGGUUCAGAGAAUGGACGAGAACGGACGGCACGUUUCUCUGGAGUCUGCUGCGCCUGCCUUUCAGGGCCACUCGCCCAUCUCUGAC